rnacentral:rRNA from 1 species
CCCUUAGAUGUUCUGGGCCGCACGCGCGCUACAAUGAUGAAUUCAACGAGUUUAUAACCUUGGUUGAAAAGCCUGGGUAAUCUUUUGAACUUUCGUCGUGAUGGGGCUAGACCCUUGCAAUUAUUGGUCUCCAACGAGGAAUUCCUAGUAAACGCAAGUCAUCAACUUGCAUUGAUUACGUCCCUGCCCUUUGUACACACCGCCCGUCGCACCUACCGAUUGAAUGGUCCGGUGAAGCCUCCGGAUUGGCGCGCACCUCGGUGCCGCCGAGAAGUUGGCUAAACCUUACCAUUUAGAGGAAGGUGAAGUCGUAACA